rnacentral:lncRNA from 1 species
AUGAUUUUAAAGUUUUUACAUUUUUUUUCUUUCUUUUUUUGGAUUUCUUUGGAUAAGUAAUACAAACACAUCACAAUGUUGCAAUUCAUGUCAAUUCCUGUAUGAAAUUCAUGGUCAGAUAGAGAUGCCAGUGCACAUUUGGGAAAUGUACACAGGCAGCUAGGUUCAUUGUCCUCUUUUGUCUGCAGAAAGCAAUCAAGAAAACAUCUGUGCUUAGAUAGAGCUGAUUUUCAUGGAUUGGGUUCAGAUGUUGGCAGAAGACCCAUGCUCCAAGAGCAGCCAAAAGAUGGUUAAUUGGCUGUCAGCUCUGGAAGCCUGACCGUUAGCUGCGAGACACAAUACUUAUUUACAGAGAGUCACAAUACUUAUUUCCAAGGCAAGCAGAAAGUAGGGGAAGUCUGUGAGGAAUGGGAAUGAAAAGCGACAGGUUGUCCAAGAAACUAGAAUACUGCGGGUUCACUAAGUUUUUCUCUUCAAACUCUGCUCCAGGAAUAAUUCCAUGUGUGUGCAGCUCUGGAUGCCAGCCACACCUGGGGAGAGUAUCUGAAGGCACAAAGCUCCUCCAGGUUAGCACACAGGCAACGACUCGCAUCUCCCACUGCUCUAAGGCAGUGAAGAAGAGGUUAUGUAUCCCAGCUGACAGAUCCACGGACUAUUUUAACAGCUGCUUGGGGAUGAAGAGCUUUGGAGAGCAGAGGAAGAUUAAACAGCUCGUAUCUGCUUUAUUUUCUUCUCCUUUGAUCUCAGUGCAGUCCCCUUCUCUCUGGCUUCACUUUUUUUUUAUAUUUGCCUGCAUUAAAAUCCUGAAUAGUUUUGUUCAUCUGUUUAGUAAAAGGAAGCUGAUAAAAAUUAAAUAUAUUACAGCACAUUAAAAAAAAAUAAUAUAUAUAUAUAUAUUCUCUUUAUUCAUCUCAGCUGCAGGAGAUGUUCCAUUGGUGGCUGAGGCAGUUGUGGAUACGACAUUAGUUCUUGGUCGUUCAGGGAGGUAGCAUGGUUUGAGAUGCUGGGUUAAGCUUUCAGGAGCUUCAGGCUACAGUCUAAUUCUGCCACUAUUGUUUUUAGCUGGUGCAUGUCUGACUUUCAUUUUGGUUGGAGGAGUGGUACUUCACAAUUUCCCAGAAAUAUUGUUUGUAGUGUCAAUUUUAAUGACUAGACUAUCCAUAAUGACUAGACUAUCUGUUCUGCUGUUCAGCAGGUAAAUGCCAAGGCAGUCGGGGAGAUAAAAGAUCCAUCUUAAACUGACCUGAACUGACAUUUUUUGGCUUUGCUAGAUUUAUAUAACUCUGCUUUUGGCAAUCUGAGGUUUCAGUGGAUGAAGAGGGAACCCCAUUGUAUGCAGUAUUUCUAAGAAGUGAUGUAAUAGUGACUAUAAAUUCACAAUUACAUUGAUUAGGGUAAUGGUGAUGAAAAACUUGAGGCUUCAAUUAAGAAGAUGCUAUUUGGACUGGGUACAAGAUUAUUGAUUCCUCCAUAAAAUGCCAUUGUACGGUAGAGAAAUCCAGAGAACUUAAGGGAGAAUGUGAAAAACAGAGAUGCUAAUACCUAAAUCACUCCAUUGGGCACAUUUAUUUUUAAAGUAUCUUUAGCCUGUUGACUUAUUUUAAAGCAAAGAGACACAGAAAUGGACAAGAGAAAUAGAAGUAAUAGUCCCUUAAUAGGAUCAAGCAUGUUUAUAUAAUGAAGAUGAAACUGACGAGCUUUUCCUGAGCCAAUGGGCAGAAACCUAAGGGGUCUUAAUACUCACAGGUUCCUGGCCUACUGGAAAUGCCUGGUGCCAAAGCAGUUACUGCCACCUUAAGCACAAAGCAAACAAUCAUGCAUUUCUGGAGAUAGCCUUCGGGCCCAGUGUUUCUGGUGUUGCAACAACUUCUCACAGAAGGAGAAUAAAAAUGUGUGAUGGACAAUUCA